rnacentral:rRNA from 1 species
CCUACGGGCGGCAGCAGUGGGGAAUAUUGCACAAUGGGGGAAACCCUGAUGCAGCGACGCCGCGUGAAGGAAGAAGUAUUUCGGUAUGUAAACUUCUAUCAGCAGGGAAGAAACUGACGGUACCUGACUAAGAAGCACCGGCUAAAUACGUGCCAGCAGCCGCGGUAAUACGUAUGGUGCAAGCGUUAUCCGGAUUUACUGGGUGUAAAGGGAGCGUAGACGGAGAGGCAAGUCUGAAGUGAAAGCCCGGGGCUCAACCCCGGGACUGCUUUGGAAACUGCAGUUCUAGAGUGCCGGAGAGGUAAGCGGAAUUCCUAGUGUAGCGGUGAAAUGCGUAGAUAUUAGGAGGAACACCAGUGGCGAAGGCGGCUUACUGGACGGUGACUGACGUUGAGGCUCGAAAGCGUGGGGAGCAAACAGGAUUAGAUACCCCGGUAGUC